UACGGGGGGAGCAAGCGUUGUUCGGAUUUACUGGGCGUAAAGGGCGCGUAGGCGGCUUAACAAGUCACUUGUGAAAUCUCCGGGCUUAACUCGGAACGGCCAAGUGAAACUGUUAUGCUAGAGUGCAGAAGGGGCAAUCGGAAUUCUUGGUGUAGCGGUGAAAUGCGUAGAUAUCAAGAGGAACAUCUGAGGUGAAGACGGGUUGCUGGGCUGACACUGACGCUGAUGCGCGAAAGCCAGGGGAGCAAACGGG
rnacentral:rRNA from 1 species